rnacentral:rRNA from 1 species
AGUGAACGCUGGCGGCAGGCCUAACACAUGCAAGUCGAACGGCAGCACAGAGGAGCUUGCUCCUUGGGUGGCGAGUGGCGGACGGGUGAGGAAUGCGUCGGAAUCUGCCUUUUUGUGGGGGAUAACGUAGGGAAACUUACGCUAAUACCGCAUACGACCUACGGGUGAAAGUGGGGGACCGCAAGGCCUCACGCAGAAAGAUGAGCCGACGCCGGAUUAGCUAGUUGGCGGGGGAAAGGCCCACCAAGGCGACGAUCCGUAGCUGGUCUGAGAGGAUGAUCAGCCACACUGGGACUGAGACACGGCCCAGACUCCUACGGGAGGCAGCAGUGGGGAAUAUUGGACAAUGAGCGCAAGCCUGAUCCAGCCAUGCCGCGUGUGUGAAGAAGGCCUUCGGGUUGUAAAGCACUUUUGUCCGGAAAGAAAUCCUUUCGAUUAAUACUCGGGAGGGAUGACGGUACCGGAAGAAUAAGCACCGGCUAACUUCGUGCCAGCCGCCGCGGUAACAC